rnacentral:rRNA from 1 species
AAGUGUGGACGCCAGUCUGCAUGGAGCCGACCUUGAAAUACCACCCUUUAAUGUUUGAUGUUCUAACGUUGGCCCGUAAUCCGGGUUGCGGACAGUGUCUGGUGGGUAGUUUGACUGGGGCGGUCUCCUCCUAAAGAGUAACGGAGGAGCACGAAGGUUGGCUAAUCCUGGUCGGACAUCAGGAGGUUAGUGCAAUGGCAUAAGCCAGCUUGACUGCGAGCGUGACGGCGCGAGCAGGUGCGAAAGCAGGUCAUAGUGAUCCGGUGGUUCUGAAUGGAAGGGCCAUCGCUCAACGGAUAAAAGGUACUCCGGGGAUAACAGGCUGAUACCGCCCAAGAGUUCAUAUCGACGGCGGUGUUUGGCACCUCGAUGUCGGCUCAUCACAUCCUGGGGCUGAAGUAGGUCCCAAGGGUAUGGCUGUUCGCCAUUUAAAGUGGUACGCGAGCUGGGUUUAGAACGUCGUGAGACAGUUCGGUCCCUAUCUGCCGUGGGCGCUGGAGAACUGAGGGGGGCUGCUCCUAGUACGAGAGGACCGGAGUGGACGCAUCACUGGUGUUCGGGUUGUCAUGCCAAUGGCACUGCCCGGUAGCUAAAUGCGGAAGAGAUAAGUGCUGAAAGCAUCUAAGCACGAAACUUGCCCCGAGAUGAGUUCUCCCUGAGACUUAGAGUCUCCUGAAGGAACGUUGAAGACGACGACGUUGAUAGGCCGGGUGUGUAAGCGCAGCGAUGCGUUGAGCUAACCGGUACUAAUGAACCGUGAGGCUUAACCUU